rnacentral:lncRNA from 1 species
GCAGAGUGCCUGGCAUACAGUAGGUGCUCAAUGAAUGCAUGAAGGAAGGAGAUCGGCCAGGUCCAGCUACAACUAGAUCCAGAGCUAAACUGAUGUCAUCAAGUCUCAGUUUGAAUGAUCCUCUCAGCUCCACUGUUCUUCAUCUUAACUUAAUUCCAAAGUCAUUCCACAGUGGUGAUAUAGCUGCCAGCAGCUACACAAACCCAAAGGCAACAGCCCACAUCCUUCUCCCAGAAGUCCCAUAAAGAGUCUCACUGCUUUUCAUUGGUUCUGAUUGUGGCCGACACUCACCCUUCAUCCAAUCUCUGUGGCCAGGAGAAUCCAGCGCUCUGAUUGGUCAGGCCUGGCUCCAUGGCCACCUGAAGUCCGGGGUGGAGUUAACUCCACCUGCAACACAUGGACUGAUGGAAAAGGGAAAAAGAUCUGGAAAUCCAAAAAGCUUGGAGAGCAAAUUGCAUUUGGUUUCUAUUACACAGUGCAGCAGAUUUAAUUAUUCUUGAAAAAAUUUUUUAUCUUCAAAGGGACUCAAGCUGAAGACCUCCUUUAGGUAUGUCGUCGGUAGAUACCUACCUCCAGUGGCUGGCUUGUUUUAGCCUCAUGGUCAAGAUGAGGAAUCUCAGAGUGGACUGCAGCCCAUGCUCUUUUCCAGAGCGUGUCAGAGGACAGGCUGUCACGAAGGCAGGCUUCACAGUGCCGGUUUCCUGAGACCACGGGAAAUGUGGCUGAAGGGGUCAUUGAUGUCUAACCUCCUGUGUUAUUCUGGGUGCAGUUCUAAUGCCCAGACCAUUGGUGUCCCCUGGAAUGUGCCCUUGGGUCAGAGCAAACUUUAAGUUAUUGUUAAUGAGGUUGUGCAUAUUUGCAUAAACUUUCAAGGUGAAAUAUUUCAGGGUUUUUCUUGUGGCUGGCAUUUGUUUUUCUUUCUCUAUCUUUUCACUUACCACAGUUGAUUCAAACCCCUUAAGCCUGGAAAGGACAUAGGAGCAAAGGGGGACCCCAUAACUGGGGGGCAUGCAAUAAUGGAGGCGUUGAGAGCAAGCCAGAGCUCUGGCCAAAGGUGGUCAGACAAUGGUCCAGAUCCCCGUUAUUAAGCUUCCCCAGGCUUCAUUUGUGGGAGUGGUGGCGGAUUGAAUAUUCCCCCCCCCCCCCAGAAUUCAUAUCUGCCUAGAACCUCAGAAUGUGACAUCAUUUGGAAAUAGAGUCUUUGCAGAUAUAUUAGUUAAGAUGAGAUCAUGCUAGAUUAAGGGUGGGCCCUAAAUCCAAAGGAGAGGAAUCUCAUUCUGUCUCCCAGGCUGGAGUGCAGUGGCAAGAUGUCAGCUCGCUGCAACCUCCACCUCCCGGGUUUGACACACACACACAGGGGAAGAGGGCCUGUGAAGAUGGAGGCAGAGAACGGAGUGACGCAGCGACAAGCCAAAGGGCACUGAGGAUGGCCAGAAGCCGCCAGAGGCUGGAAAAGCAAGAGCAAAGUCUCCCUGGAGCCUGCGGAGAGCCUGGUUCUGCCGAUACCGAUACCGACUUCAGAGUCGUAGACUCCAGAACUGUGAGGGAAUACAGUGCUGUUGCUUUAAGCCAUAGCAUUUGUAUUCAUUUGUUACAACAACCCUAGGAAACCAAUCAGGGGCUCUUAAAGGAAUCCAAGGCCUGAGGCAAAACAUGGGUCAGAGAAUGGAAAUGUGGACACAGAAGUCCCCGUGGAAAUGCCCUGAUGAGACUUGUUUGAAGGAUGAACUUCUGCUCCAAGAUAAUGUGGGCCUGUCCAUGCCACAUUCUUUAUUAGGCCACCAUAUUGGCUCUGCAGUUUGCACCCCCAAGGGGAGAGAAGGGACCGGAAUCCUGUCUAUCUCUCUCCACUGAGCCAAAUGUGCUGGUACAAAGCCUCAUUCCCCUGGAGAAAAGGGUUUCCUUUUCUUGGCUUGAAGGUGCUAACUCUCCUGCCUGUUCCUUAAGCUGUGUGCUGGGGGAGUGAGGCUGUACAGAGGGGCCACCACCAUCUAAUUAACAUGAUGGGCCGGGCACAGUGGCUCAUGCCUGUAAUCCUAGCACUUUGGGAGGCCGAGGCGGGUGGAUCACUUGAGGUCAGGAGUUCAAGACCAGCCUGGCCAACAUGGUGAAACCCUGUCUCCACUAAAAAUACAAAAAUUAGCCGGGCGUGGUGGCAUGUGCCUGUAAUCCCAGCUACUCAGGAGGCUGAGGCAGGAGAAUCACUUGAACCUGGGAGGCGGAGGUUGCAGUGAGCUGACAUUGUGCCACUGCACUCCAGCCUGGGUGACAGAAUGAGAUUCCGUCUCAAAAAAAAAAAAAAUUCACAUGACAGUACCAUAAAGACUAGCGGCCCUGAUCCAGCUGCACACAGCCCUCACUCACAUUGCCCAACCACAGAAUCCCUCAUUUCUUCCACAGGCACCCACACCCAUUCCCCCACCCACACACACGCUUUCAAUAUUCAGCCUCUCCUCAUUUUUCAAUGGUUCCAUAUUUGCAAAUUUGCCUACUUGCUAAAAUUUAUGUCUGCCCCCCAAAUCCAUACUCAGGACACACUCAUGGUCAUUUGCAGACAUGUGCAGAGUGACAAAAAAUUUGGGGUCUCUGGAUGUGCAUGUUUAUAUCUGAGAUCAAACAAGGAAAUGCUCUGCUCUCUUUUUUUCUUACUCUAAAUAAGAGUCCUUUUCAUAGUUUAUGUAGUGCCAUGUUUUUCGCAUUUUUGUGCUUUUUGUUGGUGAUUUUGCCAUUUAAAAUGGUCCCCAAGGGUAACACUGAAGUGCUAUCUAGUGUUGCAUAGCCUGAGAAGGAUGCAAUGCAACUUCCAGAGAAAAUAUGUGCGUUAGGUAAGCUCUGCUCAGGUGUGUCACACUGCAGGUGGCCAUGAGUUCAAUGUACUAAUGAAUCAGCAAUACAUAUCAUAGGAAGUGUCCUUAAACAGAAAGAGAAAUAAAACUGUCAGAGGCGUUCAAACUAGAGUGACUCCAUCUUGAAUAGGGGCUUGGUAAAAUAAGGCCGAUGCCUGCUGGGCUGCAUUCCUAGGUGUUUAGGCAUUCUUAGUCACAGGAUGAAACAGGAGGUCAACAGGACUGAUAUCACAAGAUACAGGUCACAAAGACCCUGCCGAUAAAACAGGAGGCCGUAAAGAAGCCAGUCAAAACCCAUCAAAACCAAGAUGGUGACAAAAGCGACCUCUGGUCAUCCUCACUGUUCAUUAUAUGCUAAUUGUAAUACAUUAGCAGGCUGGGUGCAGUGGCUCACACCUGUAAUCCCAGCACUUUGGGAAGUUGAGGCAGGUGGAUAGCUUGAGCCCAGGAGUUUGAGACUAGCUUGGGCAACAUGGCAAGACCCUGUCUCUACAAAAACUACAAAAAUUAGCUGGGUGUGGUAGCACAUGCCUGUUGUCCCAGCUACUAGGGAGGCUGAGAUGAGAGGAUCGUUUGAUCCUGGGGGUCAGAGGUUGCAGUGAGCCAAAACUGCACCACUGCACUCUAACCUGGGUGACAGAGUGAGACCCUAUCUCAAAUAAUAAUAAUAAUAAUAAUAAUAAUAAUAAUAAUAAUAAUAAUAAUAAUAAUACAUUAGCAUGCUAAAAGACACUCUCACCAGUGCCAUGACAGCUUACAAAUGCCAAGGCAAAGGCUGGAAGCUACCCUAUAUGGUCUAAAAGGGUGAGGGACCCUCAGUUAUGGGAACUCCUCUCCCCUUCCUCGAAAACCCACGAAUAAUCCACCCCUUGUUUAGCAUAUAAUCAAGAAAUAACCAUAAGUUUACUUAGUCGAGCAGCCUCUGCCACUGCUGUGGCUGUGGAGUAGACAUUCUUCUGUUUCUUUACUUCUCUAAUAAACUUGCUUUUGUUUUACUCUGUGGUCUCGCUCGAAUUCUGUCUUGCGUGAGAUCCAAGAACUCUCUCUUGGGGUCUGGAUUGGGACCUCUUUCUUGUAAAAAAACAAGGUUAUGAAUCAAUCAGUUGAUGAAGAUGUUGUGACCAGAGGCUCAUAGGAGCAUAACCCUCUAUUUCCCCUAGGAGCAAUGGUUCAGUAUUCGCCAUUCCAGCAUUCCAGAAAGUUUAUGGAACAUCACUAUAUCCAAUAAUGAGAAUUGCUUAUAUUUUUUCACCCAGGCCCGGUGAGGGGAA